rnacentral:tRNA from 1 species
AGGGUAAUAGCUCAGUGGCAGAGCACUUAGCAUGCACGAGGUCCUGGGUUCUAUUCCCAGUACCUCCA